rnacentral:rRNA from 1 species
UACGUAGGGUGCGAGCGUUGCCCGGAUUUAUUGGGCGUAAAGGGCGCGUAGGCGGCCACGCACGUCCGUUGUGAAAUCGCCCGGCUCAACUGGGCGGGGUCGGCAGAUACGGCGUGGCUGGAGCAAGCUAGGGGGCAAUGGAAUUCCCGGUGUAGUGGUGGAAUGCGUAGAUAUCGGGAGGAACACCAGUGGCGAAGGCGGUUGCCUGGAGCUUUGCUGACGCUGAGGCGCGAAAGCGUGGGGAGCGAUCCGG